GAUGAAGAACGUAGCGAAAUGCGAUAAGUAAUGUGAAUUGCAGAAUUCAGUGAAUCAUCGAAUCUUUGAACGCACAUUGCGCCCAUUAGUAUUCUAGUGGGCAUGCCUGUUCGAGCGUCAUUUCAACCCUCAAGCUCUCUUGCUUGGUGUUGGGGCUUCUGCGGCUUCGGCCGCAGGCCCUGAAAAACAGUGGCGGGCUCGCUAUAACUCCGAGCGUAGUAAUCUCUCUCGCUUUGGAAGUGUGGCGGUUCCCGGCCGUUAAACCCCCCAAUUUCUGAAUGUUGACCUCGGAUCAGGUAGGAAUACCCGCUGAACUUAAGCAUAUCAAUAAGCGGAGGA
rnacentral:misc_RNA from 1 species